rnacentral:tRNA from 3 species
GGGGCCUUAGCUCAGUUGGGAGAGCGCCUGCUUUGCACGCAGGAGGUCAGCGGUUCGAUCCCGCUAGGCUCCACCA